GGUACAGGAAGAAGCUUGCUUCUUUGCUGACGAGUGGCGGACGGGUGAGUAAUGUCUGGGAAACUGCCUGAUGGAGGGGGAUAACUACUGGAAACGGUAGCUAAUACCGCAUAACGUCGCAAGACCAAAGAGGGGGACCUUCGGGCCUCUUGCCAUCGGAUGUGCCCAGAUGGGAUUAGCUAGUAGGUGGGGUAACGGCUCACCUAGGCGACGAUCCCUAGCUGGUCUGAGAGGAUGACCAGCCACACUGGAACUGAGACACGGUCCAGACUCCUACGGGAGGCAGCAGUGGGGAAUAUUGCACAAUGGGCGCAAGCCUGAUGCAGCCAUGCCGCGUGUAUGAAGAAGGCCUUCGGGUUGUAAAGUACUUUCAGCGGGGAGGAAGGGAGUAAAGUUAAUACCUUUGCUCAUUGACGUUACCCGCAGAAGAAGCACCGGCUAACUCCGUGCCAGCAGCCGCGGUAAUACGGAGGGUGCAAGCGUUAAUCGGAAUUACUGGGCGUAAAGCGCACGCAGGCGGUUUGUUAAGUCAGAUGUGAAAUCCCCGGGCUCAACCUGGGAACUGCAUCUGAUACUGGCAAGCUUGAGUCUCGUAGAGGGGGGUAGAAUUCCAGGUGUAGCGGUGAAAUGCGUAGAGAUCUGGAGGAAUACCGGUGGCGAAGGCGGCCCCCUGGACGAAGACUGACGCUC
rnacentral:rRNA from 1 species